CCCAGUCAUGAAUCACAAAGUGGUAAGCGCCCUNCNGAAGGUUAAGCUACCUACUUNUUUUGCAACCCACUCCCAUGGUGUGACGGGCGGUGUGUACAAGGCCCGGGAACGUAUUCACCGUAGCAUUCUGAUCUACGAUUACUAGCGAUUCCGACUUCAUGGAGUCGAGUUGCAGACUCCAAUCCGGACUACGACGUACUUUAUGAGGUCCGCUUGCUCUCGCGAGGUCGCUUNUNUUUGUAUACGCCAUUGUAGCACGUGUGUAGCCCUACUCGUAAGGGCCAUGAUGACUUGACGUCAUCCCCACCUUCCUCCAGUUUAUCACUGGCAGUCUNCUUUGAGUUCCCGGCCGAACCGCUGGCAACAAAGGAUAAGGGUUGCGCUCGUUGCGGGACUUAACCCAACAUUUNACAACACGAGCUGACGACAGCCAUGCAGCACCUGUNUCAGAGUUCCCGAAGGCACCAAUCCAUNUCUGGAAAGUUCUCUGGAUGUCAA
rnacentral:rRNA from 1 species